AACGUAGGUACCGAGCGUUAUCCGGAUUUACUGGGCGUAAAGCGCGUUCAGGCGGUUUGGCAAGUCGGGCAUGAAAUCUCUCGGCUCAACCCGGAAAGGUCAGCCGAUACUGCGGGGCUAGAGUGCAGAAGGGGCAACUGGAAUUCUCGGUGUAGCGGUGAAAUGCGUAGAUAUCGAGAGGAACACCUGCGGCGAAGGCGGGUUGCUGGGCUGACACUGACGCUGAUGCGCGAAAGCUAGGGGAGCGAACGGG
rnacentral:rRNA from 1 species